UUUCCGGUUGAUCCUGCCGGAGGCCACUGCUAUCGGAGUCCGACUAAGCCAUGCGAGUCGAGGGGCUCUCUUUUGAGAGCACCGGCGAACGGCUCAGUAACACGUGGCUAACCUACCCUCGGGUGGGGGAUAACCUCGGGAAACUGAGGCUAAUCCCCCAUAGGUCUAGGUUGCUGGAAUGCGCCUAGGCCGAAAGCUCCGGCGCCCGAGGAUGGGGCUGCGGCCUAUCAGGUUGUAGUGGGGGUAACGGCCCCACUAGCCUACGACGGGUACGGGCUGUGGGAGCAGGAGCCCGGAGAUGGACCCUGAGACAAGGGUCCAGGCCCUACGGGGCGCAGCAGGCGCGAAACCUCCGCAAUGCGCGCAAGCGCGACGGGGGGACUCCGAGUGCCCUGGCCUUUGGUCAGGGCUUUUCCGGAGUCUAAAAAGCUCCGGGAAUAAGGGCUGGGCAAGACGGGUGCCAGCCGCCGCGGUAAUACCCGCAGCUCGAGUGGUGGCCACUAUUAUUGGGCCUAAAACGUCCGUAGCCGGCCUGGUAAAUGCCCGGGUAAAUCGUGAGGCUCGACCUCACGAAUUCCGGGUAGACUGCCAGGCUUGGGACCGGGAGAGGCCGGAGGUACUCCAGGGGUAGGGGUGAAAUCCUGUAAUCCCUGGGGGACCACCUGUGGCGAAGGCGUCCGGCCAGAACGGGUCCGACGGUGAGGGACGAAGCCCAGGGGCGCAAACCGGAUUAGAUACCCGGGUAGUCCUGGGUGUAAACGCUGCCCGCUUGAUGUUGGGCAAGCUUCGGGCUUGCCCAGUGUCGGAGCGAAGGCGUUAAGCGGGCUGCCUGGGGAGUACGGCCGCAAGGCUGAAACUUAAAGGAAUUGGCGGGGGAGCACUGCAACGGGUGGAGCGUGCGGUUUAAUUGGAUUCAACGCCGGGA
rnacentral:rRNA from 1 species